GAGUUUGAUCCUGGCUCAGAUUGAACGCUGGCGGCAUGCCUUACACAUGCAAGUCGAACGGCAGCACGGGAGCUUGCUCCUGGUGGCGAGUGGCGAACGGGUGAGUAAUGCAUCGGAACGUAUCCUGGAGUGGGGAUAACGUAGCGAAAGUUACGCUAAUACCGCAUAUUCUGUGAGCAGGAAAGCGGGGGACCUUCGGGCCUCGCGCUCUUGGAGCGGCCGAUGUCGGAUUAGCUAGUU
rnacentral:rRNA from 1 species